UAAUAAGUGUUUUAUGGCACUUUUUAAAUCCAUAUCCACCUUGUGUGCAAUGUCAGUCGAUCUUCUUCAUGGAGAUCGGCCAAACAUCAACCUUUAUCUUUUAACUCUUUGUCUGAAAAAUAUUAUGAAUAAACAAUUCAAAAAUA
rnacentral:misc_RNA from 1 species